ensembl:lncRNA
AUGUGCUCAUUUUCGUACAUUUCCAGGGUAGAAAUCAGAAAAUUCGAUGACGCUAGGAGCAAAGAUGAUCUUUCAUUAUGUUCACAUAUAAAGUUCAAAAGGUUUUUACAGAGGGAAUUUGAUUCUCUUUUUAUUGCCAUAAAUCAGGAAAAACAAUCCUUUUUGUAUUACAGGUUUUCUAAAAUGUUAUGUUUAAAUUAUCUGAUGGUGUUUAGGAGCAUAAAGAGUCGCCUUAAUGAUACUCGGCCAGAGCUUGAGCAGAAGUGGGAAAGACUUACUGGAAGUCAGUGGAAGGCAUGUCAGGGAUGCGUGGAGGGGUGGCAGGACUCAAACGCAGACCUCUCAGGAAAACAAAAGACUUUAUUAGUCAAAACGCCAAAAACACACAGGAACCAGGGGAAAACCUGCAGGCAUGAAACUACGGCCAUCCACGACGAUAGACAAUGACGCGACAAGUGACACUAAGAAACUGCAGCUUCCUGUUUCAGAGAGACGCCAUUAUAGGACUUGCCAAGUGCAGAGCACGCCUUUGAUGCAAGAUGCUCUGCAGGCAAACAUCCCCGUCACUCAGGCAGUGAGGCGGCCUUUUCAUCGCUGGGUAAUUAAGAGAAGUCCAAAGAACUGUGAGGAGACGAGGAGGAGCUUUUCUAAACGCCAUCUAGUCCGACUACUCCAGUCGGAGCGCGAAGUAGUGACGGCCAAGCCCGAAGCACAAAAUCUAAGACCUAACUAGAUGAAUUCAUAUAUUAAUGGCGAGUAAAAGCCUAAUUUGCUCUAAGAAGCAUGUACCCAGGGUCUACCUGUAAGUGUUAGCAUGUGUUGUGGAGUUGGGACACUGUUGGAGCCGUGGAGAGAAAAGGGAAAUGUUGUCACAGGCUGGACGUCUGCCAGCUUCAGAGAGAGUAUAAAGUAUGCCGGCAACGCAUAGGGGAAUAUUAUCUUGACUUGAAAACAUUUAGUUCCAGCAGAUCGUGUACAGAGAUCGCUGUUCUCUCACGCGGAUGUGCAGGAAAGGGCGGCGCUUGUGACAAAUAAGAGCCAAUGAGCCGGGUCACAUCGGCGGGUUUAACCUCCCAUUAGCCUUUUGAUUAAUGUGCCUGUUUACAACAAUGACUUCAGGGGAAGGAAACAGCCUCAGCCUUUUAAUGAUCAGACAAGAAUGUCAAGGAAAGGAAGGAAAGAGCAGCUUUGGGUGGAUAACGGAUUUUUGCUCAAGCUUAUUAUAGCUUGGAAUACAUUUAAUAAAAAUGGGUUUUUGAAAUAUUGCGGGGUGUAUCUUAAAAGUUGAAAUGUGUAAAGUCAGGCCAGACUUUAAUGUCAUAAUUAACUAUCAUUAUCACAACAGCUGACGGGGUUGACAUGUACUGCGCAUGCUAGCCAGCUAGCUGCCCGUCCUGUCUGGUGAUAGCACUCUUAUCUCUAUAGGAAGAGGAAGUAGAGACGAUCACAUUGAACGUACAUGCGAGUUUUAAACGUUUUUUCUGUUGGAUUGACUCCAAAGUGGUGAACACGUCUGUUUCGUCCUCCAUCAGACCCCUUUGAACUUACAGUUAGCGGCAAGCUGUAGUAACCAGCAUUCAGCUGGCACAAAGCCGGCAUGGAUGAUGCUACAGCUAACCGCCAGCUGAAGGCCUGUCUGCCUUCUGUCACUUUGGAUUCAUUCCAAAGAUCACGCAGAUACAGAUGACAUCGACGCCACGUCAAAUUAAAAGAAGAAAAACAUAACUGGCAGUCAGCUUGAAUUGUGCAUAUUCUCUGCAUGCUGUUAGUUAAUGAUGGUGUUUUAACUAACAGAUCAAUGUGAAUGAAGCUCAGGCGUGAGACUGGAGAAGCCUGUUGCUGCCCCGGGGGGGCCUCGAUCACGUCGGUAACGUCUAACGUUAAAACCUCUUUGUUGCUGUCCGUUCCAUCCAGGACACAGUUUCUUUAGCUGUUUGUUGCAUCUGUUCUUUGGAUCGACAGCUGUUUCACGGCCGUCCAGGCUCCUGUGAUUGCCUUAAAAAAGCAAUGCCAUCGUUUUUAGGACUGGGCACACAAGAGAAACCAAAGCUAACCUCAGGCGCGCCUCACAUAUCGCAUCGUUGAAGUGAUUCUUAUCGGAGUGCAGGCGGUCUCUGAAGGGAGGACGCAUUCAAGGCAACGUUUUAAGGUAGUAAAACACCAAAUUUACCUCAAAACACCAAAACAUAGCGAGUUCUAUAAAGUUAAAGCUGUGGAAAUGCAAAUUACAAUAAACACUAAAAGCUCAUUUGCACUCCUGGAUGAAAAUAUUUAUAUUACCAAACUCCUUCCAAACCCUGAUUGUGAUCGAGGGCCUAAAAUAAAAUAAAAUAAGGCAUCUCCCGUGUUCCUGAUUUCCCAACUGAACUCUGCGGAAGACAGCUGACUUUGUUUCGGCAAAUAAACAAACCCAAGCGUUUUUUGGAAGACUCUAAAUGUCACAGAGAGCCAUGGUGGGCGAACUCGGCUCCGGGCCAACAGCCAAACCAGCAAAGGAGAAGAGAGAAGAAGAGAUGCAGCUCUGUGGUUUGCAGAGCUGGAGAGACGGAGAACAAACUUUCCAGAGAAUGGAAAUUGGAGGAAAAAAAUGAAAACAUGAUUAAAUCUGUCUCCCAGCGGUUGCUCGCAUUCUCACGAUAUACUGAAAGGCGAGUCGGGAAUCGGGAGCCAACAGGCGACUUCUGUCGUCCCAGCGAGACGUCCUCCUCUCAUACGUUAGCAUACCGAGUUGAAUUAUGCAGAGAUUUGAAGCGCAUGCAUCAGGAAAAACACACCGGGACUCAAUAACAAACAAGACAAAUAGAUACAAAUAUUGUCCUGUGUUGUGUCCCCCCCUGCAUGGCUUUGUGCCUACGUGGUUCAGAUAUCCCCAAUACCAAAUUACAUGAAAUUACAGCACAUGACACAGGGUUACCACAUCAACUGUGAUUGCUAACAGGCCUUGGAUGUUUUCAAUGGAACUUGGAGAGCAAAUACACAUUUUUCAGCAGCAGCGAGCCACAAGCCUUUCAAAGUCUCCAGCGCUGCCUCGUGAAGUCACGCUAUGAGGCCCAACGGGACGGCUUUCUUCAAAAAAGGAAAAGAAGAUCGGCCAUUUAAGGUAGACAUAAAUAGCUUGUUUCACUACGGGGUCU